UGACGGAGGUAACGGCUGUAGAAGGAGGCAGGACGUUGCUACCAUGUAACAUCACAGCCUCUACUCCUGACGACGCCCCUAUACUAGUGCUCUUCUAUAAUGGCGCUACAGGGACACCCAUAUACAGCAUCGACGCGAGGUCCGCCCGCUGGUUCGCUCGGUACACUGGUCGGAGUGAGGGACGCGAGCACACUUUGAUGUUAGUUCGAAGCCUCAGGGUCUGGUGAUCGACAGCGUGGAGCCAGCACACGAGGGCCACUAUCGCUGCCGGGUCGACUUCCGGCCUCCCUACUAGGAACCUAAGGGUGAAGCUGACGGUAGUGGUGCCCCAGGAAGGGUGACCAUACAGAGCAGUAGAGGUGUGGAGGUGAGCGGUGUCAUUGGCCCUUUCCUGUGGGGGAACCAUUAUCACUCACCUGUCUCGUCCGGUGGU